rfam:Neotoma lepida isolate 417 scaffold_1510, whole genome shotgun sequence.
GGUUUUAAAAGCAGGGGAAAUACCNUGAUCANGAAGGUGUUUUUCCCAGGGCAAGGCUUAUCCAUUGCACUUCAGUUGUGCUGACCUCUGUGAUUUCCCCAAAUGUGGGAAACUCAACUGAAUAAUUUGGUAGGGGGACAGCAUUUGUGCUCUCCCUGA